rnacentral:rRNA from 1 species
AUACGGAGGAUCCGAGCGUUAUCCGGAUUUAUUGGGUUUAAAGGGAGCGUAGGUGGGAUAUUAAGUCAGUUGUGAAAGUUUGCGGCUCAACCGUAAAAUUGCAGUUGAUACUGGCUGUCUUGAGUACAGUAGAGGUGGGCGGAAUUCGUGGUGUAGCGGUGUAAUGCUUAGAUAUCACGAAGAACUCCGAUUGCGAAGGCAGCUCACUGGACUGCAACUGACACUGAUGCUCGAAAGUGUGGGUAUCAAACAGGAUUAGAUACCCUGGUAGUCCACACAGUAAACGAUGAAUACUCGCUGUUUGCGAUAUACAGUAAGCGGCCAAGCGAAAGCAUUAAGUAUUCCACCUGGGGAGUACGCCGGCAACGGUGAAACUCAAAGGAAUUGGCGGGG